rnacentral:rRNA from 1 species
CCGUCAGCUGCACACGACCGUACCGCAAACCGACACUGGUGCGCGAGAUGAGUAUUCUCAGGCGCUUGAGAGAACUCGGGAGAAGGAACUCGCAAAUUGACACCGUAACUUCGGAAGAAGGUGUGCCUUUAGUAGGUGAACCCGUACAGGGGGAGCCCAAUGAGGUUGCAAAGAAUCGGUGGCUGCGACUGUUUAAUAAAAACACAGCACUCUGCAAACACGAAAGUGGACGUAUAGGGUGUGACGCCUGCCCGGUGCUGGAAGAUUAAGUGAUGGGGUGCAAGCUCUUGAUCGAAGUCCCAGUAAACGGCGGCCGUAACGAUAACGGUCCUAAGGUAGCGAAAUUCCUUGUCGGGUAAGUUCCGCCCUGCACGAAUGGCGUAACGAUGCCACACUGUCCCCUCCCGAGACUCAGCGAAGUUGAAAUGUUUGUGAUGAUGCAAUCUCCCCGCGGAAAGACGGAAAGACCCCAUGAACCUUUACUGUAGCUUUGUAUUGGACUUUGAACGGAUCUGUGUAGGAUAGGUGGGAGGCUUUGAAGCAGGGUCGCUAGAUCUUGUGGAGCCAACGUUGAAAUACCACCCUGGUGCGUUUGAGGUUCUAACCUAGGCCCGUUAUCCGGGUCGGGGACAGUGCAUGGUAGGCAGUUUGACUGGGGCGGUCUCCUCCCAAAGCGUAACGGAGGAGUUCGAAGGUACGCUAGUUACGGUCGGACAUCGUGACGAUAGUGCAAUGGCAUAAGCGUGCUUAACUGCGAGACUGACAAGUCGAGCAGAUGCGAAAGCAGGACAUAGUGAUCCGGUGGUUCUGUAUGGAAGGGCCAUCGCUCAACGGAUAAAAGGUACUCUGGGGAUAACAGGCUGAUACCGCCCAAGAGUUCAUAUCGACGGCGGUGUUUGGCACCUCGAUGUCGGCUCAUCUCAUCCUGGGGCUGUAGCCGGUCCCAAGGGUAUGGCUGUUCGCCAUUUAAAGAGGUACGUGAGCUGGGUUUAAAACGUCGUGAGACAGUUUGGUCCCUAUCUUCCGUGGGCGCUGCAGAUUUGAGGAAGCCUGCUCCUAGUACGAGAGGACCGGAGUGGACGCACCUCUGGUGUACCUGUUGUCACGCCAGUGGCAUUGCAGGGUAGCUAAGUGCGGAAGAGAUAACCGCUGAAAGCAUCUAAGCGGGAAACUCGUUUCAAGAUGAGAUCUGCCGGGGCCUUGAGCCCCCUGAAGAGUCGUUCUAGACCAGGACGUUGAUAGGCUGGGUGUGGAAGCGCAGUAAUGCGUUAAGCUAACCAGUACUAAUUGCUCGUGCGGCUUGACCCU